rnacentral:rRNA from 1 species
GAUGAACGCUGGCGGCGUGCCUAACACAUGCAAGUCGAGUGAUCUCUUCGGAGAGAGCGGCGGACGGGUGAGUAACGCGCGGGUAACCUGCCCUGUACACACGGAUAACAUACCGAAAGGUAUACUAAUACGGGAUAACAUACGAAAGUCGCAUGGCUUUUGUAUCAAAGCUCCGGCGGUACAGGAUGGACCCGCGUCUGAUUAGCUAGUUGGUAAGGUAAUGGCUUACCAAGGCAACGAUCAGUAGCCGACCUGAGAGGGUGAUCGGCCACACUGGAACUGAGACACGGUCCAGACUCCUACGGGAGGCAGCAGUGGGGAAUAUUGCACAAUGGGCGAAAGCCUGAUGCAGCAACGCCGCGUGAGCGAUGAAGGCCUUCGGGUCGUAAAGCUCUGUCCUCAAGGAAGAUAAUGGCGGUACUUGAGGAGGAAGCCCCGGCUAACUACGUGCCAGCCGCCGCGGUAACAC